AUUGAACGCUGGCGGCAGGCCUAACACAUGCAAGUCGAACGGUAACAGGAAGCAGCUUGCUGCUUUGCUGACGAGUGGCGGACGGGUGAGUAAUGUCUGGGAAACUGCCCGAUGGAGGGGGAUAACUACUGGAAACGGUAGCUAAUACCGCAUAACGUCGCAAGACCAAAGAGGGGGACCUUAGGGCCUCUUGCCAUCGGAUGUGCCCAGAUGGGAUUAGCUAGUAGGUGGGGUAACGGCUCACCUAGGCGACGAUCCCUAGCUGGUCUGAGAGGAUGACCAGCCACACUGGAACUGAGACACGGUCCAGACUCCUACGGGAGGCAGCAGUGGGGAAUAGUGCACAAUGGGCGCAAGCCUGAUGCAGCCAUGCCGCGUGUAUGAAGAAGGCCUUCGGGUUGUAAAGUACUUUCAGCGGGGAGGAAGGGAGUAAAGUUAAUACCUUUGCUCAUUGACGUUACCCGCAGAAGAAGCACCGGCUAACUCCG
rnacentral:rRNA from 1 species